rnacentral:tRNA from 1 species
GCGGGAAUAGCUCAGUUGGUAGAGCACGACCUUGCCAAGAUCGGGGUCGCGAGUUCGAGCCUCGUUUCCCGCU